rnacentral:rRNA from 1 species
CAAUGCGUGUGUGCGUGUAUGAAUGUACGCGCGCUUUAUUUGUGUUUAUGGGUAUUAUGAGUACCAUCUCCUCCCGGCCCGAGAGGGUCGGGAAAGCUCUAAACCACCUCCCAUGAUAGGGAUCGGGGCCUGGAACCAACCCCGUGAACGAGGAAUUCCCAGUAGCCGCGGGACGUCAGCCUGCGUCGAUGACG